AACUUAGCGUCGCUAUAGGAACGUGAGUAGUUAACAAACCGCUAGUGUUCAGCAGUUUUCUGCGGACUUUUAUCAUCCCAUUUAAAAUGGCUUUACCGGUGUUCCCUGGACAUUCGCUCAACAAAAAUCUGGGAAAAGAAAAGUUUCACAAGUCUCAGCAUUUUGAUUACUUCAAUGGCAUGCCAUUGAUGGUGGGAGCAGAGAAGCCUGGCAUUGGAGGAGAACUGCUCUUGGGCCAAAGAGCACGACCUAAAUACUCAGUGUUUCCCAAAGGAGAAGGCAGUGAGGCCCCCUCCUGGGUAGCAUUUGACAAGCAGGCUCUUUGCUUCAAUGCAUAUUUCCAAGAAGCUGUUACUCAGAGCAGAGAGGAAACUUAUAGGAUUCGACAAUGUAAGAUUUAUUUCUACUUGGAAGAUGACACCAUACAGGUUGUGGAGCCAGAGCUAAAAAACAGUGGCAUUCCACAAGGAACACUUAUCCGUCGCCAUCGCAUUCCUCUCCCACCUCCUGAUGAUGACCAGUUUUACAAUUUGCACCAUUUUAAUAUCAACCAGGAGAUGGUUUUAUACUCCAGGACCUUUAUGAUAACAGACUGCGAUCCUUUCACACACAACUUCCUGAGGAAAAUGGGUGUGCGUCUCAACGCCCUUGGUGCAACACCGACAGACCCUUAUACAAAACUUCGUCAGGAGCUGGAGGACAGCAUGAAGCCACUGCGCCCGUAUGAGCGGCAGGAUACCUUAAAGCAGUUCCUCGACCAUGACCGCAAUGUUCUGCGUUUUUAUUGCUACUGGGAUGAUACCCAAAGCAUGUUUGGAGACCCCAGAGAACUGAUCCUGCACUACUUCUUGGCAGAUGACACCAUAGAAAUACUAGAAGUCAGAUAUCCAAACUCUGGCCGAGAUACUACUCCUACAUUUUUACACAGGAGCAAGCUUCCAAAGCAUGCUCCUACUCCCAAACGCCUGCCUGGAGAAAUAACAGACCGUACUGUCCUCAAUGUAUUUGGGCCAGUGGGACAUGGGGGUCGCUACAUUUUGGACAGCCUCAAAACUGGUGCUAUACAUGAGGAGUUCUACAAAGAUUGUGACCUGACCAUAGGAGGGGUCAUUAACGUCUGGGGCCGGAGAGUGAUGAUUUGUGACUGCGAUAACUUCACCAAAGAGUAUUAUCGUUCCAAAUACGGCAUCGAGGACUUCACUCCUGUGGAGUAUAAGGCCCCACCACCAGCUAAAGCAGCUGUCCAGGUCCCUCCUUACACUGGCUUUGGAUCGGAGGAGGACUCCAUUCGCUCCUGCCAGGGGCUCCUGCCCAAACCCCCUCAGAAAGACUUCAGGAAGCUAAUGGAAAAAGACAGGCAGGGCCUGGUGAGCCAUGUACUGAGAUUUGUGGGCAAGAUGCUGACAGACAACCCUACUGACAUGGACCGCACAUUCAUCAUCUCCUUCUACCUCAGUGAUGACACUAUAUCAGUGUUUGAACCCACUCAGAGGAACUUGGGAGUUAUUGGAGGUAAAUUCCUGGAGAGAAGCCGUGUGAAGAAGCCAGGACAGGAGCUCUUUAAGAGUGAGAUGUCUGAGUACUACAAAGCUCAGGACUUGUACGUGGGAGCCAGACUCAGUAUAAACAACCAGCCUUUCCAGUUAGUCGAUGCUGAUGAGUAUGCUUUCAAAUAUAUGGAACAGCAUGCAGAAGAGUUCCCUAGGGCCAACGCUGGCACCAUUUUGAGCAAGUUAAAGUCAAUUCCUGAAGAGAAGCAAAAAGAAAUCAAACGGUUCCUGGCAUUAAGUGACUCAAGCAACACUGGCUUCAUUCCUUAUGAGUCUUUCAGGUCUCUGUUGGCAGAUAUGGACGGUCAGCUGUCGGAGCAUGAGAUUAUGAUGCUAGGCCGUAUCUACUCGGUGAGAGAGCAGCCUGAGCUGGACGUGGGUCUCAUGCUGGCCAUCGCUCAGUCGCACCUGAAGAAGAAACAGUUUGAGAGUUUCUCAGACAUGCUGCGAGCUUUCACACACGAGGACAGAGACAGAAGUGGGCAUUUAUCCACCAGAGAAGCUAGGAUCAUCUGCAAAGCCUUCCAAUUGCCACUGGACGAUGACCUUUUGAGAGCCCUUCUGCACAAAUUUGAGAAUGAGUCUGGGAAGGUGGACUAUCACGCUUUCCUGUCAGGGAUCAACUGGAGAGAGAAUGCCUACAUACCACUUCCACCAGAUGCUGUUAUGAAAAUGUGCCAGUUACCCAUGCCAAGGGCAGUGACACACCCCCAUACCAUGACAGACUCUGGCUUUUGGACCUGAUGCUGAUAACAGCUUGGAUGGUCCUUUUCCUCUGUGGCCCGGAGAACACGACGGCUGUUUUGUCCAAAAACUAUUUGAAAUGUUGACUUGUCGGACCACAAAACACGAUUCCACUGUGCUACUGUCCAUCUUAGAUGAGACAGAGCACAGAGAAGUCGGCGGUUGAGAAGCAGAGAAGUUGAGAAGCCCAGAGAAGACGGCGGCGCUUCUGGACAGUGUUGAUGUAUGGCUUCUGCUCUCCGUAGUAAAGCCUUAACUUGCAUCUGUGGAUGCAGCGGUGAAUGGUGUUGCUGACAAAGGUUUACCAAAGUAUUCCCGAGCCAUGUCAGGAUAUCCAUUACAGACUCAUGAUGGUUUUUAAGACAGUGACGUCUGAGGGAUCGGAGAUCACGCGCAUUCAGAGGUAGUUUUUGGCCUUGCCCAUUAAGCACCAAGAUUUGACUGGAAUCCUUGAAUCUUUUAAUUAUAUUGUGCAAGGUGUAGAAGGUGAAAUGCCCAAAAUCCUACCGAUUUGUGUUUGGGGAAUGUUGUUCUCAAAAUGUUGGCUUAUUCGCUGACGCAUCUGUUGGCAGAUUGGUGAGCCUCACUCCAUCCUUGCUCUUGAAAGACUAGGCCUUUUUUGGAGGCUCCUUAUAUACUAUGAUUAGACUAUUGCCUCACCUGUUUCACAUCACCUUCUUAUUUCAACUUGUCACAUCGCUAUUAGUACUAAAUUGCCCUUGUCCCAACUUUUUUGGAACGUGCGUCAUACAUCAAUUUCAAAAGAAACGUUUAUCUUUAAAAAAAAAAAAACAACAACAAAAAAAAACUAUGCAGUUGAUUAGGUAAAACAUCAAAUACUUUGUCUUUAUAUGUUUUUUGUUUAAAUACAAGUCAAAGUACAUUUACAAAUUACUUCCUCUUUGUUUUUAUCAGCAUUUUCCAUACUGUCCCAUCUUUUUCGGAACUGGGGUUUUAUGAAACAUAGCCAAAGGGACCUGAUUAUUAUUUUAUUUAGUUUUUACAGCUGUUAAAAAUAAAUCUGUACUGAGAGGGCCCAUGGAUUGAUUUAUAGAAAAAACAACAACUUUAAGAACCCCUGCUUUAGAGUUCUGACUGUAGCAGUGUGUUAUGGUACACAGGCAGCCAUUUUCUCUUACACUGCCUAAGCCUACACUAGAAGGCCACACACUAGUGGAAUACUCUGCCUUUAUCAAGGAGCUUUCUGGAUACGUAGAAGAGGAGUGACGUCAUCUUUGGCAUCAUGUCAUUGCUGCAGUACAUUAUUAAAUGGAAAUUUACCCAGAGCUUUUUAAUAAACUUCAUUUCAUUUAACUGCCA